UUGAAAGCUGGCGUCUUCGGCGUCCGCAUUGUAAUCUCAAGAAGUGUUUUCCGCUUCGGACCAUGCCUAAGUCCCUUGGAAAAGGGCAUCAUAGAGGGUGAUAAUCCCGUACAUGGCAUGGAGCGCCCGAGGCUUUGUGAUACGCUUUCUAAGAGUCGAGUUGUUUGGGAAUGCAGCUCAAAAUGGGUGGUAAAUGCCAUCUAAGGCUAAAUAUUGGGGAGAGACCGAUAGCGAACAAGUACAGUGAUGGAAAGAUGAAAAGAACUUUGAAAAGAGAGUUAAACAGUACGUGAAAUUGCCAAAAGGGAAGGGUAGGAGGUCAGAGAUGCGUCUUGGGAUUCAGCCUUGCUUUUGCUUGGUGUUUUUCCCAAGUUGCAGGCCAACGUCGGUUUUGGGCACUGGAGAAGGGUGGAAGGAACGUGGCACCUCUCGGGGUGUGUUAUAGCCUUCUACUGGAUACAGCGACCGAGACCGAGGACAGCAGCGUACUCGCAAGAGCGGGCCUUCGGGCACCUUUACGCUUAGGGCGUUGGCAUAAUGGCCCUCUACCAC
rnacentral:rRNA from 1 species